GCCCGGUUAGCUCAGUCGGUAGAGCAUGAGACUCUUCCAUCUCAGGGUUGUGGGUUAGAACCCCACAUUGGGCA
rnacentral:tRNA from 2 species